rnacentral:lncRNA from 1 species
AAGAACUCUCUCCUCUUCUUUCUGAAGAAGAAAUAUCAAGAUGCUAGAUCGGACUGAGAAAUAUGCUCGAGUUGAAAAAAUCUUUGAGAAGCAUGGGACCUCGGUCGAUAUUCCAACCGAGAAAAAGAAAGAAGAUCCAAAACUCUCCUUGAUCCGAGAGGAUCCCCCAAGAAGUUGGCAGUAGUCCAAAACCCUGCUCCGACAUUGACGAUCUAGAACUCCUCCCCAGAGCCAAUGAUCUAGAAGCCCCAGAGGACAAUGGUGCGCAUCACCAAGGAAGCCCUUGUCA